AGGAGUUUGAUCCUGGCUCAGGAUGAACGCUGGCGGUAUGCUUAACACAUGCAAGUCGAACGGGAUCUCAGAAAUGGGGUUCAGUGGCGGACGGGUGAGUAACGCGUGAGAAUCUGGCUUCAGGUUCGGGACAACCACUGGAAACGGUGGCUAAUACCGGAUAUGCCGAGAGGUGAAAGAUAUAUUGCCUGAAGAUGAGCUCGCGUCUGAUUAGCUAGUUGGUAGGGUAAUGGCCUACCAAGGCGGCGAUCGGUAACUGGUCUGAGAGGAUGACCAGUCACACUGGGACUGAGACACGGCCCAGACUCCUACGGGAGGCAGCAGUGGGGAAUUUUCCGCAAUGGGCGAAAGCCUGACGGAGCAAUACCGCGUGGGGGAUGAAGGCUCUUGGGUUGUAAACCCCUUUUCUCAGGGAAGAAAAAAAUGACGGUACCUGAGGAAUAAGCAUCGGCUAACUCCGUGCCAGCAGCCGCGGUAAUACGGAGGAUGCAAGCGUUAUCCGGAAUGAUUGGGCGUAAAAGCGUCCUGUAGGUGG
rnacentral:rRNA from 1 species